rnacentral:rRNA from 1 species
CAAUAGCGUAUAUUAAUGUUGUUGCAGUUAAAAAGCUCGUAGUUGGAUUUCUGGUGAGAACGGCUGGCCCGCCACAAUGUGGUGUGAGCUGUGCAUUGUUUCUUUGCCAUCCUUGGGGAGAGCGUUUCUGGCAUUAAGUUGUCGGGUUCGGGAUCCCCAUCGUUUACUGUGAAAAAUUAGAGUGUUCAAAGCAGGCUUACGCCAUUGAAUACAUUAGCAUGGAAUAAUAAGAUAGGACCUAGGUACUAUUUUGUUGGUUUGCGUACCAAGGUAAUGAUUAAUAGGGAUAGUUGGGGGUAUUCGUAUUCAAGUGUCAGAGGUGAAAUUCUUGGAUUUCUUGAAGACGAACUACUGCGAAAGCAUUUACCAAGGAUGUUUUCAUUAAUCAAGAACGAAAGUUAGGGGAUCGAAGAUGAUCAGAUACCGU